GUUUCAGAACAACUGCUAACUGUUAUGACUUCUGAAUGGGACACUAUGCAAGCCCCUGAUAUCUGGCCAGGAGAUUAGGGAGAAGGGAAAAGCUGAAGGACGGCUAAAAGACAAAGCUUGCAGGGAACGCUGUGCAAGCUUUUGACAUACAGCCAAGGAGUACAAAGAAGAAGGACAAGAAAAAAAAAAAAGCCUGAGAGGAAGACUAUGAGCCUUCAUCAUGAAAGACCCCCAGAGGGAGCACCAGAGACUGAUACGCAUGCUCCAGUAGGAGGGUUCAAAUUCCGGAACUAAUUAUAAUAACUCCGUUGUUUGUUUUUUUUUAGAAAUAGUAAUGAAUAUGUAUUAGUCUAGGAGCAUAAAAAAUCAGCAUCUUGAUGUAACGGGUGUGCGACCAGGUGGAGCGGAGACUCCCGGCGCACCCAGCGCUGUUUGCCAGCGCUGUUUGCUUACCUCUAUUCUUUUAAUAAAUUGUAAACUUUGAUUAUAAUCCUAUUUUGGGACUGAGCUAUUUAUAACAACUUAGGGGCUCGUCCGGGAUGGUUUUGGUUCCUGGAUUUUAAUCUAGGAGAGGCGCCCCCACCAUUUGGUGGCUCCUGUCCGGAACCAAUGCCAUCUUGAACCUGAAUAAAGGUAAGCAAAGAUUUUGAUUUUGUUAUGAGCUCCCUUGCCGGCUGCAGCAUUGUUUUUGCCCGUAAUUCUGCGCGCGAAGAUCCGAACGAAGACGACGGAGUCGUAAGCAUUUAAGGCGUGUACCGUUCGGUUGGGUGGGAUUCGGUUGCCUGUGUGUGUGUAAGAGUGUGACUGAGACGGAACGUAGUUCCGAAGCGAGUGCGGAGGUCUUCUAACCGAUAAGCAAAUACUGGGACGUUUGCAUGCACAAACACAUUGGGGUACAAAGGUGUUAAGUGAUCAUUUACUAAAACAAUUUGGUUGCAUUGUUUGUUUUUGAAAUAGCAAAGCAAAUUACACCACGUUGCUUAACUUGUCAGAAGAUAAAUAAGAAAGUGUUUUGACAAGCAGCCACGGGAGGGAGAAAAACAGCUUAUAGGCCUUUCGAGAGGGUACAAGUUGGUUUCACUGAAUUGCCCCAGGAGCUGGAUCACCCCGACAGGCUGAACUGAAUGGUAACACAAGCCCCAAUCGACCCUGAAAGCGGGCCCAACCCCUUGAUUGAAGGCGUCUUGCCUAUUAUGAUCUGUGAGGAAUGUUUUAACAAUUCGUGUCAAUGGAGAGCUUGAAGGAAAAUGUAU